rnacentral:rRNA from 1 species
AUUGAACGCUGGCGGCAUGCCUUACACAUGCAAGUCGAACGGCAGCGGGGACUUCGGUCCGCCGGCGAGUGGCGAACGGGUGAGUAAUGUAUCGGAACGUACCAUUCAGUGGGGGAUAACUAUCCGAAAGGAUAGCUAAUACCGCAUAUUCUGUGAGCAGGAAAGCAGGGGAUCGCAAGACCUUGCGCUGAUUGAGCGGCCGAUAUCAGAUUAGCUAGUUGGUGAGGUAACGGCUCACCAAGGCUACGAUCUGUAGCGGGUCUGAGAGGAUGAUCCGCAACACGGGGACUGGGACACGGCCCAGACUCCUACGGGAGUCAGCAGUGGGGAAUUUUGGACAAUGGGCGCAAGCCUGAUCCAGCCAUGCCGCGUGAGUGAAGAAGGCCUUCGGGUUGUAAAGCUCUUUCGGCCGGGAAGAAAUCGCAUCAGCUAAUACCUGGUGUGGAUGACGGUACCGGAAUAAGAAGCACCGGCUAACUACGUGCCAGCAGCCGCGGUAAGAC